CAAUAGCGUAUAUUAAAGUUGUUGCAGUUAAAAAGCUCGUAGUUGAAGUUUGGGCCUGGGCGGGCGGUCUACCUAUGGUGAGUACUGCUGCGGCCGGGUCUUUCCUUCUGGCUAGCCCUCGGGCGAACCAGGACGAUUACUUUGAGGAAAUUAGAGUGUUCAAAGCAGGCCUUUGCUCGGAUAUAUUAGCAUGGAAUAAUAGAAUAGGACGCAUGGUUCUAUUUUGUUGGUUUCUAGGACCAUCGUAAUGAUUAAUAGGGACGGUCGGGGGCAUCAGUAUUCAGUUGUCAGAGGUGAAAUUCUUGGAUUAACUGAAGACUAACUACUGCGAAAGCAUUUGCCAAGGACGUUUUCAUUAA
rnacentral:rRNA from 1 species